rnacentral:rRNA from 1 species
UACAGAGGUCUCAAGCGUUGUUCGGAUUCAUUGGGCGUAAAGGGUGCGUAGGCGGCGCGGUAAGUCGGGUGUGAAAUCUCGGAGCUUAACUCCGAAACUGCAUUCGAUACUGCCGUGCUUGAGGACUGGAGAGGAGACUGGAAUUUACGGUGUAGCGGUGAAAUGCGUAGAGAUCGUAAGGAAGACCAGUGGCGAAGGCGGGUCUCUGGACAGUUCCUGACACUGAGGCACGAAGGCCAGGGGGAGCAAACGGG